UAUUGCACAAUGGGGGAAACCCUGAUGCAGCCAUGCCGCGUGUGUGAAGAAGGCCUUCGGGUUGUAAAGCACUUUCAGCGAGGAGGAAAGGUUGAUGCCUAAUACGUAUCAACUGUGUCGUUACUCGCAGAAGAAGCCCCGGCUAACUCCGUGCCCGCAGCCGCGGUAAUACGGAGGGUGCAAGCGUUAAUCGGAAUUACUGGGCGUAAAGCGCACGCAGGCGGUUGGAUAAGUUAGAUGUGAAAGCCCCGGGCUCAACCUGGGAAUUGCAUUUAUAACUGUCCAGCUAGAGUCUUGUAGAGGGGGGUAGAAUUCCAGGUGUAGCGGUGAAAUGCGUAGAGAUCUGGAGGAAUACCGGUGGCGAAGGCGGCCCCCUGGACAAAGACUGACGCUCAGGUGCGAAAGCGUGGGGAGCAAACAGG
rnacentral:rRNA from 1 species